GGCCCGAUAGCUCAGUUGGUUAGAGCGCCGCCCUGUCACGGCGGAGGUCGCCGGUUCAAGUCCGGUUCGGGUCG
rnacentral:tRNA from 1 species